rnacentral:lncRNA from 1 species
CAGCAGCAACAGCCACAGGUGUCAGUGCUGUUAGAAAGAGCAUCGUCGGAGCUCCAAGAUCUGGCAGUGGGGCGGGCCACUUGGGCCAGUCAUUUUGUCUUCCCCAGUAAGGGGAAUCUGAGGGUGGAGAGCCCCCGGUCUGAUCAUGAUUUCACUCUCAGAGGAUCCCUACCUCCACUCUACCAGAAGACCCUCAAGACUCGCAGUCAAGAGGACCUCCUAGAUCGAAGGCUCCAGGAGAUGAACCG